rnacentral:rRNA from 1 species
CGUAUGUAACCUACCUUUAUCAGGGGGAUAGCCUCUCGAAAGAGAGAUUAAGCCCGCAUAAAAUCACAGUGCAGCAUUGCAUAAUGAUCAAAUAUUUAUAGGAUAAAGAUGGGCAUGCGGAACAUUAGCUAGUUGGUAAGGUAACGGCUUACCAAGGCUACGAUGUUUAGGGGAUCUGAGAGGAUGACCCCCCACACUGGUACUGAGACACGGACCAG